UACGUAGGGUGCAAGCGUUGUCCGGAAUUAUUGGGCGUAAAGAGCUCGUAGGCGGUCUGUCACGUCUGCUGUGAAAACUCGGGGCUUAACCCCGGGCCUGCAGUGGGUACGGGCAGACUAGAGUGCGGUAGGGGAGACUGGAAUUCCUGGUGUAGCGGUGAAAUGCGCAGAUAUCAGGAGGAACACCGGUGGCGAAGGCGGGUCUC
rnacentral:rRNA from 1 species